rnacentral:rRNA from 1 species
GUAUCUGCCGCAAAAAUGUUGCGGUCUCCGCAAAAUUGGAUAACUUGGCGAAACGCCAAGCUAAUACAUGAAUUAAGGGACGCGUUCAUGUUCAGGCGCAGGGGCAGACCUUGUCGCCUUGGCGCGUCCGGCGAAUGAAUGAAAGUAAAACCAACGCCUUCACCGGCAGUAACACUUAGAAGUGCUGACUCAAUUCAUUCCGUGCGAAAGCUGGGUUUUUUACCUGGCGUCUUUUGACGAACAACUGCCCUAUCAGCCAGCGAUGGCCGUGUAGUGGACUGCCAUGGCGUUGACGGGAGCGGGGGAUUAGGGUUCGAUUCCGGAGAGGGAGCCUGAGAAAUAGCUACCACUUCUACGGAGGGCAGCAGGCGCGCAAAUUGCCCAAUGUCAAAAAAAAACGAUGAGGCAGCGAAAAGAAAUAGAGCCGAGAGCGCCUUUGGCGUUGUCGUUUUCAAUGGGGGAUAUUUAAACCCAUCCAAAAUCGAGUAACAAUUGGAGGACAAGUCUGGUGCCAGCACCCGCGGUAAUUCCAGCUCCAAAAGCGUAUAUUAAUGCUGUUGCUGUUAAAGGGUUCGUAGUUGAACUGUGGGCCUUUGAGGCGCAUUGGUUUUGUCCCGUCCACUUCGGAUCGGUGACCCAUGCCCUUGAGGUCCGUGAACACACAGAACCAAGAAACACGGGAGUGGUACCUUCCUGAUUCUCGCAUGUCAUGCAUGCCAGGGGGCGCCCGUGAUUUUUACUGUGACUAAAAAAGUGUGACCAAAGCAGUCAGUCGA